AGUGAACGCUGGCGGUAGGCCUAACACAUGCAAGUCGAACGGCAGCACCGGAGAGCUUGCUCUCCGGGUGGCGAGUGGCGGACGGGUGAGGAAUACAUCGGAAUCUACUCUGUCGUGGGGGAUAACGUAGGGAAACUUACGCUAAUACCGCAUACGACCUACGGGUGAAAGCAGGGGACCUUCGGGCCUUGCGCGAUUGAAUGAGCCGAUGUCGGAUUAGCUAGUUGGCGGGGGAAAGGCCCACCAAGGCGACGAUCCGUAGCUGGUCUGAGAGGAUGAUCAGCCACACUGGAACUGAGACACGGUCCAGACUCCUACGGGAGGCAGCAGUGGGGAAUAUUGGACAAUGGGCGCAAGCCUGAUCCAGCCAUACCGCGUGGGUGAAGAAGGCCUUCGGGUUGUAAAGCCCUUUUGUUGGGAAAGAAAUCCAGCUGGCUAAUACCCGGUUGGGAUGACGGUACCCAAAGAAUAAGCACCGGCUAACUUCGUGCCAGCCGCCGCAGUAA
rnacentral:rRNA from 1 species